CAGGUGGAUCUAGAACCAGAAUCUAAGGAAGUACCAGAAAUAUAGUCAUCUCAUCUAGGAAAAACAUGCAGAGCUUUCCAGUCAUUUCAUCUUUUCUAGAUUUGCAAACCUGAGAAGAACUCAUAAUGCCAGCUGCUGUGCUUUUCAUCUACAAACUACACUGCCUUCUUACCAAUCAGAUUGUGGAUGUGAACUGCAAAGUACUUCUUACGGAGUGUUUGGGUGUGCGAAGGGGUCUUGUGACUAUGCUUUUUGCUGUUGUUGCUGAUUUUGGGUGCCUUGACAGCAGCCAUGAGGAAGAACCCUUGUGAACCCUUGUGAAUGCUGAUUGCUUCACAUUACUAAUAUAAAUAUAAAUAAAAAUAA